rnacentral:rRNA from 1 species
UACGUAGGAUGCAAGCGUUGUCCGGAAUUAUUGGGCGUAAAGAGCGCGCAGGCGGUAUGACAAGUCAGAUGUGAAAGAGGCCGGCUUAACCGGCAAGGGUCAUUUGAAACUGUCAGACUAGAGUACAGCAGAGGAUAGUGGAAUUCCCGGUGUAGUGGUGAAAUGCGUAGAUAUCGGGAGGAACACCAGUGGCGAAGGCGACUAUCUGGGCUGCAACUGACGCUGAGGCGCGAAGGCUAGGGUAGCAAACAGG